rnacentral:rRNA from 1 species
AUUGAACGCUGGCGGCAUGCCUUACACAUGCAAGUCGAACGGUAACAGGUCUUCGGAUGCUGACGAGUGGCGAACGGGUGAGUAAUACAUCGGAACGUGCCCGAGAGUGGGGGAUAACGAGGCGAAAGCUUUGCUAAUACCGCAUACGAUCUCAGGAUGAAAGCAGGGGACCGCAAGGCCUUGCGCUCACGGAGCGGCCGAUGGCAGAUUAGGUAGUUGGUGGGAUAAAAGCUUACCAAGCCGACGAUCUGUAGCUGGUCUGAGAGGACGACCAGCCACACUGGGACUGAGACACGGCCCAGACUCCUACGGGAGGCAGCAGUGGGGAAUUUUGGACAAUGGGCGCAAGCCUGAUCCGGCCAUGCCGCGUGCAGGAUGAAGGCCUUCGGGUUGUAAACUGCUUUUGUACGGAACGAAAAGACUCUGGUUAAUACCUGGGGUCCAUGACGGUACCGUAAGAAUAAGCACCAGCUAACUACGUGCCAGCCGCCGCAGUAAUAC